UACGUAGGGGGCAAGCGUUGUCCGGAAUCCUUGGGCGUAAAGAGCGUGUAGGCGGCUCGGUAAGUCCGCUCUGAAAGCCCGGGGCUCAACCCCGGGAGGCGGGCGGAUACUGUCGGGCUAGAGUCCGGAAGAGGCGAGUGGAAUUCCUGGUGUAGCGGUGAAAUGCGUAGAUAUCUGCAGGAACACCCGUGGCGAAAGCGGCGCGCUGGACCACUACUGACGCUGAGGAACGAAAGCUAGGGGAGCAAACAGG
rnacentral:rRNA from 1 species